GACGAACGCUGGCGGCGUGCUUAACACAUGCAAGUCGAACGGAAAGGCCUGCUUUCCCUUGUGGAUUGCGGGUACUCGAGUGGCGAACGGGUGAGUAACACGUGAGUGAUCUGCCCCCAACUUGGGUAUAAGCCUGGGAAACUGGGUCUAAUUCCCGAUAGGACUGCAGGGUGGUGCCUGUGGUGGAAAACGAUUUUCUAGUGGUUGGGGAUGAGCUCGCGGCCUAUCAGCUUGUUGGUGGGGUAAUGGCCUACCAAGGCGGCGACGGGUAGCCGGCCUGAGAGGGUGGACGGCCACAUUGGGACUGAGAUACGGCCCAGACUCCUACGGGAGGCAGCAGUGGGGAAUAUUGCACAAUGGGCGGAAGCCUGAUGCAGCGACGCCGCGUGGGGGAUGACGGCCUUCGGGUUGUAAACUCCUUUCGACCGCGAGGAAGCCACCUGGCUGGAAGGGUGGUGACGGUAGUGGUAGAAGAAGCACCGGCUAACUACGUG
rnacentral:rRNA from 1 species